GAUGAAGAACGGUAGCGAAAUGCGAUACUUGGUGUGAAUUGCAGAAUCCCGUGAACCAUCGAGUCUUUGAACGCAAGUUGCGCCCGAAGCCACUAGGCCGAGGGCACGCCUGCCUGGGCGUCACACGCCGUUGCCCCCCCAUCUACUCCUUCGGGAUUGCGGGGGGGCGGAUGAUGGCCUCCUGUGCGCCUAGCCGCGCGGUUGGCAUAAAUACCAAGUCCUCGGCGACGCACGCCACGACAAUCGGUGGUUGCGAAACCUCGGUUGCCCGUCGUGUGCGUUCGUCGCGCAUCGAGGGCUCGAAAAAAUGCUCGGCUCCGGCUGGGCUUUCAACGCGACCCCAGGUCAGGCGGGGUUACCCGCUGAAUUUAAGCAUAUCAAUAAGCGGAGGA
rnacentral:misc_RNA from 1 species